UACGUAGGGUGCGAGCGUUGCCCGGAUUUAUUGGGCGUAAAGGGCGCGUAGGCGGCCACGCACGUCCGUUGUGAAAUCGCCCGGCUCAACUGGGCGGGUCAGCGGAUACGGUGUGGCUCGAGCAAGCUAGGGGGCAAUGGAAUUCCCGGUGUAGUGGUGGAAUGCGUAGAUAUCGGGAGGAACACCAGUGGCGAAGGCGGUUGCCUGGAGCUUUGCUGACGCUGAGGCGCGA
rnacentral:rRNA from 1 species